CAAUAGCGUAUAUUUAAGUUGCUGCAGUUAAAAAGCUCGUAGUUGGAUUUCGGGUGGGAAUGGCCGGUCCGCCGUUUCGGUGUGCACUUGCUACGCCCACCUUGCUGCCGGGGACGUGCUCUUGAGUUCACGCUCGGGACACGGAGUCGGCGAGGUUACUUUGAGUAAAUUAGAGUGUUCAAAGCAGGCCUACGCUCUGAAUACAUUAGCGUGGAAUAACACGAUAGGACUCUGGCCUAUCUUGUUGGUCUGUAGGACCGGAGUAAUGAUUAAGAGGGACAGUCGGGGGCAUUCGUAUUUCAUUGUCAGAGGUGAAAUUCUUGGAUUUAUGAAAGACGAACUACUGCGAAAGCAUUUGCCAAGGAUGUUUUCAUUAA
rnacentral:rRNA from 1 species